rnacentral:rRNA from 1 species
AAAGGAAUAGACGGGCACCCGCACAAGCGGUGGAGCAUGCUGUUUAAUUCGAAGAUACGCGAAAAACCUUACCUAGACUUGACAUCCCUGGCAAUGCUAUAGAAAUAUAGCGGAGGUUACCCAGGUGACAGGUGGUGCAUGGUUGUCGUCAGCUCGUGUCGUGAGAUGUUCGGUUAAGUCCGAUAACGAGCGCAACCCUUAUCAUUAGUUGCUAACAUUUAGUUGAGAACCCUAAUGAGACUGCCGUUGAUAAAACGGAGGAAGGUGGGGAUGACGUCAAAUCAUCAUGCCCCUUACGUCUAGGGCUACAGGCGUGCUACAAUGGCCGGUAUAAUGAGUUGCGAAACCGUAAGGUGGAGCCAAUCUCCAAAGCCGGUCCCAGUUCGGAUUGUGGUCUGCAACUCGACCACAUGAAGUUGGAAUCGCUAGUAAUCCCGAAUCAGAAUGUCGGGGUGAAUACGUUCCCGGGUGUUGUACACACCGCCCGU